rnacentral:rRNA from 1 species
AACGAACGCUGGCGGCAUGCCUAACACAUGCAAGUCGAACGGGAUCCUGGUUUCGGCCAGGUGAGAGUGGCGGACGGGUGAGUAACGCGUGGGAACCUGCCCAGUGGUGGGGGAUAACUGCGGGAAACUGCAGCUAAUACCGCAUGAGCCCGAAAGGGGAAAGAUUGAUCGCCAUUGGAGGGGCCCGCGUUCGAUUAGGUAGUUGGUGAGGUAACGGCUCACCAAGCCUUCGANCGAUAGCUGGUCUGAGAGGAUGAUCAGCCACACUGGGACUGAGAUACGGCCCAGACUCCUACGGGAGGCAGCAGUGGGGAAUAUUGGACGAACGGGGGCAACCCUGAUCCAGCAAUGCCGCGUGAGUGAUGAAGGCC